GAGGGUAUAGCUCAGUGGUAGAGUAUGUGUUUGGUAUGCAGGAAGUCCAGGGUUCAAUCCCCAGUACCUCCA
rnacentral:tRNA from 1 species